rnacentral:rRNA from 1 species
AGAGUUUGAUCAUGGCUCAGAUUGAACGCUGGCGGCAGGCCUAACACAUGCAAGUCGAGCGGUAGCACAGAGAGCUUGCUCUCGGGUGACGAGCGGCGGACGGGUGAGUAAUGUCUGGGAAACUGCCUGAUGGAGGGGGGAUAACUACUGGAAACGGUAGCUAAUACCGCAUAAUGUCGCAAGACCAAAGUGGGGGACCUUCGGGCCUCAUGCCAUCAGAUGUGCCCAGAUGGGAUUAGCUAGUAGGUGGGGUAACGGCUCACCUAGGCGACGAUCCCUAGCUGGUCUGAGAGGAUGACCAGCCACACUGGAACUGAGACACGGUCCAGACUCCUACGGGAGGCAGCAGUGGGGAAUAUUGCACAAUGGGCGCAAGCCUGAUGCAGCCAUGCCGCGUGUGUGAAGAAGGCCUUCGGGUUGUAAAGCACUUUCAGCGGGGAGGAAGGCGGUGAGGUUAAUAACCUCACCGAUUGACGUUACCCGCAGAAGAAGCACCGGCUAACUCCGUGCCAGCAGCCGCGGUAAUACGGAGGGUGCAAGCGUUAAUCGGAAUUACUGGGCGUAAAGCGCACGCAGGCGGUCUGUCAAGUCGGAUGUGAAAUCCCCGGGCUCAACCUGGGAACUGCAUUCGAAACUGGCAGGCUAGAGUCUUGUAGAGGGGGGUAGAAUUCCAGGUGUAGCGGUGAAAUGCGUAGAGAUCUGGAGGAAUACCGGUGGCGAAGGCGGCCCCCUGGACAAAGACUGACGCUCAGGUGCGAAAGCGUGGGGAGCAAACAGGAUUAGAUACCCUGGUAGUCCACGCCGUAAACGAUGUCGAUUUGGAGGUUGUGCCCUUGAGGCGUGGCUUCCGGAGCUAACGCGUUAAAUCGACCGCCUGGGGAGUACGGCCGCAAGGUUAAAACUCAAAUGAAUUGACGGGGGCCCGCACAAGCGGUGGAGCAUGUGGUUUAAUUCGAUGCAACGCGAAGAACCUUACCUGGUCUUGACAUCCACAGAACUUUCCAGAGAUGGAUUGGUGCCUUCGGGAACUGUGAGACAGGUGCUGCAUGGCUGUCGUCAGCUCGUGUUGUGAAAUGUUGGGUUAAGUCCCGCAACGAGCGCAACCCUUAUCCUUUGUUGCCAGCGGUUAGGCCGGGAACUCAAAGGAGACUGCCAGUGAUAAACUGGAGGAAGGUGGGGAUGACGUCAAGUCAUCAUGGCCCUUACGACCAGGGCUACACACGUGCUACAAUGGCAUAUACAAAGAGAAGCGACCUCGCGAGAGCAAGCGGACCUCAUAAAGUAUGUCGUAGUCCGGAUUGGAGUCUGCAACUCGACUCCAUGAAGUCGGAAUCGCUAGUAAUCGUAGAUCAGAAUGCUACGGUGAAUACGUUCCCGGGCCUUGUACACACCGCCCGUCACACCAUGGGAGUGGGUUGCAAAAGAAGUAGGUAGCUUAACCUUCGGGAGGGCGCUUACCACUUUGUGAUUCAUGACUGGGGUGAAGUCGUAACAAGGUAACCGUAGGGGAACCUGCGGUUGGAUCACCU